rnacentral:rRNA from 1 species
AGGACGAACGCUGGCGGCGUGCUUAACACAUGCAAGUCGAGCGGAAAGGCCCUUCGGGGUACUCGAGCGGCGAACGGGUGAGUAACACGUGAGUAACCUGCCCCUAGCUCUGGGAUAGCUCCGGGAAACCGGGAUUAAUACCAGAUACGACCACUUUAGACAUCUGUCGUGGUGGAAAGGAUUCCGGCUAGGGAUGGGCUCGCGGCCUAUCAGCUUGUUGGUGGGGUAACGGCCUACCAAGGCGACGACGGGUAGCCGGCCUGAGAGGGCGACCGGCCACACUGGGACUGAGACACGGCCCAGACUCCUACGGGAGGCAGCAGUGGGGAAUAUUGCGCAAUGGGCGAAAGCCUGACGCAGCGACGCCGCGUGGGGGAUGAAGGCCUUCGGGUUGUAAACCCCUUUCAGCAGGGACGAAGCGAAGUGACGGUACCUGCAGAAGAAGCGCCGGCUAACUACGUGCCAGCAGCCGC